CAAGGAAGAGAAAAUAUCAAUCCUCGCUCAAGAAGACAUCUCAUCUGUCAUCAGAGAAGCACCAGUGUUAGUCUCAGAGCGAGACAUGGAGAGAUGGAAGAAAAGGGAGCUGGAGCUAGCCCAAGAAAAACCAAAGUCAACUGAAGUGAAUGCUUGAAUGUCUUGGAAUAUUGUAAAAAGGCACUGUCUGUAGAUGGAAAAGGGACUAUAUCACUAAGCUGAUUCAGUUCUACAUGUUCAAGUAAGCGUUCAAGUUGUUUAUGUAAGACUAUAUGGGAAUUACACCCAUCUUUGAGUGCCUUACUGAUGUGCUUAAACAUGGAAGCCUUGGUGUGAUUACAUAGCUAUGAGCGAGACAAUAACACCGUCUUGUUUUCUAGGAAACUGUCACAAUGCAGUAAUUAAAUAUGGUGUGAUUAAUAAUCAAUUACCACCAAGCUCCCCCUGUAAUGUACAAAGUUUGGUCAGGUGUACCACAGGAAUGUUUUCUGGUUGGUAAUUACUGAUGUGUUGUGCUAUACAUUUUAUAAUAUAUAGAUCUGGGACUCGUGAGUCACACAUGGAGGAUGAAAAAGAGCAAGUAAGCAGUAUCAGUCUGUUACUGUUCUCUGAUUAAGUGCCUAAUUAACAGUCAUUUUUUUACUCUCUGACCAUUUUAGAAUUGAGAACUCUCUGCUAAACAUUGAGAAAAAAACACAGCAUUCGGAGAAGAUGGCAAGAAUCUGAUUUAAUCUUUCAGUCUACCCUUAAAGAAGUUGACUGUGAUGUCAGAGGCCAACUGAUCUGGAAGGCUAGAACUGAAUCAAAGGAGAGAGCCGUCCUCCUCCAUCUGAAGAGAAAAUAUCCAGGGCAUUGCCAUUAGACUGUCCAAGCAGGUUGCCAACUCCAACAAGAGACUGAGACAGGCAAUAAAAGAGUACAACAGCAUUCAGUGGCCACCACAGAUCAGCAUCUGCAAUCUCAUUUGCAGCUGUAUCAUACAAAUAAAUAGUUAAAAAAUCA